rnacentral:tRNA from 11 species
UCUCGUAGCUCAGUUGGUUGGAGCACCUGUUUUGUAAGCCGGAGGUUUUGAGUUCGACUCUCAAUAAGAGAA